GUGCUCGCUUUGGCAGCACAUAUACUAAAAUUAGAACGAUACAGAGAUUAGCAUGGCCCCUGCACAAGCAUGACAUGCAAAUUCAUGAAGUGUUCCAUUUUUUU
rfam:Tupaia chinensis contig28058, whole genome shotgun sequence.